rnacentral:rRNA from 1 species
AUCUGGGCGGCGGAAUUCAGGAUGACUGGCGGGCUUUGCGCUUGUCCGGUCGUUUGAUGUUUCCGUCGCCGUAUGGACGUCGCGACCUGUUUGUCGUCGGUCCUUGCUCGGAGGAACCGCAAUCGAGUUCAUUGCAUGGUGCGUUUCGGCGUGCCGAGCGGUGAAGAUGCGGCUCUCUGGCUGACGGUGGACAGUAAGCAACGGUGUCCGGUGUGGUGUCUCGCACUCUACGCCGACGCCGGUCUGCGACGAUUUCUUCGGGCCUCUUUCCGACCCGUCUUGAAACACGGACCAAGGAGUCUAACAUGCGCGCGAGUCGCGGGGUUUCGAGCGUACCAUGGUGCGCUCGUUACAUGCGAAACCCGUACGUUGAAGGCGUAAUGAAAGUGAACAGGGAAGAUGGCGUUCCGAGUCCACGUACCGUGAUCGAGUGUCGCGGCCGGACGUCCGCACUCCCGGGGCGUCUCAAUGGCUCGUCGCGGAUGCGGAUGGUCGUCUCUCGGGGCGGCCAUCGGUCUGCGAUGGACUGA